CCCUCGCCCCCUGCACCAGGCUGACUGGACUGGGAUUCCUGACUUGUUGGUCUAGGCCCGGUGAGAGACUCCACACAG
ensembl:miRNA